CAGCUUGGAGGCAAAUCAUGGCACUCCUUAGUUAUAUAAAGUCUCCUGCUCUUAUAACAAUUUGCUAGUUUUCAUUACUAAAAGCUUUGAAAUUUGACUGGCCAUUAAGUAAGAUGGAGCAAGCCUUAUUAAAGUGCUAGUGUGGACCCUGCCAGGUAGAAUCCCUCCCCUUUCCUUCCCCAUGACAUCCAGGUCUCCUCCUUAAUUGACAAAAGACUUUUUUCCACUGUAAGAUUUAUACACAUGUUGAAGCAUAUGCCUCUAGUACGAUCCCUUUCUCUUUUACAGCAUCUCUGUAGAGACAAUUAUGGGUAUUUGCUUGCAGAACAGUCACCCACUGUCAUGAACUGCAGUGGGAGUUCUCCUUUGGGAGCCAAGAGUCAUCUUCUGCCUCUUGUUCCAGCUACACCAAUGCCCAUGAGAUAAACCAGCACAACCAUUGGCAUUGAGUCUUGGCUGGAAAUCAUUAAAACGUUUAAAAAGCACCUUCAUUUGAAUUCCAACAUUUUUCAAGGGCUCCAGUCUUUGAACACAAAUUAGUUUGUGCUGCCUUGUGUUUGUGUUAGGCCCUGGGAGAUGAUGUCUUUCCAAAAAAUUUAAUAUUUUUUUUAUAUUUUAGUACCUGAUGCAGAGAGUAAAGUGCUUUUCAUCUUUGGGACAGUGGACAGGUGUCACAGGCAGCCAGAGCAUGACCCUUAGGAGGAACAUCAAAGGAAAACCAUGGAAAUAAAAGAUGAACAUAAAUCCAGUAAUAAUGGAUCGAAAUUAUUAUGAUUCUGGGAUCAGCUUAUGCUUAAAGCAGUCUAUUUUGAAAAGAGAGAGGAAGUCUGGAGCAAUUAAUCAUCUUUGUUGACCCACUGAAGACGUUCAGUAAGCAGCAGCUGUUAGGCCUGCCCUAACACACCGAGUCUCUCAAGCAUCAGCAGGGGUUUGGUGCCCUCUUAUGUUGGGUACAAGCAAUUUGAGGGAUUGCAAACACUUCUGGCUCAUAGACCACUUGAGAAGACUUCUGGGGAUACAAAUUGUUAAGAAAGUAAGUGCUAACUGUGAUAAGUGACUACUUAAUGCUUCGAAAAAGGUUAACAACCACUGUAAGGCACAAAAAUUGUCCAGAGGGGCAAUGAACUUCCAGCAAUGAAUAAACCCAAGAACAUACUUUUGUCCCCUUCCCUUCAGGUUUUAUUGAGGUGGUUCAGCCUCACUGAUCUUGCAUAGCACAAACCAGACUCAGGCUUUUUCUUGUUUGGCCAAGUAUUGUGAAUAAAUUUCUGACUAUGAGAACACACAUACAAAAAGAGGCGUGAAAAAAGCCAUUAUGAAUAAUGAGGCACUGGCAGAAGUUUCCCAAUGAAGUUGUGGAUGCCCCAUCCCUGGAAGUGCUCAAGGUGUGGUUAGAUGAUCUGAGCAACCUGAUCUAGUGCAAAGUUUCCUGCCCAUGACAGAGGGAGUAGAACCAGAUGAUCUUGAAGGUCUUUUCCAACCCAAACCAUUCCAUAAUUCUGUGAAGAGAAAGGGCUAUGUGAUCUGGUCUUACCUCCUGGAAACAUCAUCCAGUUAACAACCUCGGUAGUUACUCAAAAAAAAGGAUCAAUAAAAAUAAAAAAAAAAUAAAAAAAAAUGUCUGCAGGAUUUGGGACAACAAAAUACAGAGUAUUUCUAUUUCCAUUAGUUGAAUACUCCAGUGAUUAUUGUUCACACCUAAAAGCUGGCACUUAUUACCCAAAGUUAGAUUUCUGGACAGUUCUAGCAAUCACCUUAGGUUUCUCUGUUAUCUAGUUAACACUGAUAAAAGUGUGUUAUUUUUUUCUUGUGCAAAUGUUUUUAAUCCAUACAGAACCCUUCUUGGUCUUCUAAAACCUAGACAGACUGCUCAGCAAAUCUUUUCUGAAAAUAAAACCUGAUUUGGUAUAAGAAGUGUUUUGUUAGUUCCUUUUUAAUUUCCCUAUUACCAUCAUAGGGGUAAUACACUUUAAAUGUUGUUUUUUUUCAUACCUGUCACUUAUGUAACUCAUCAUUCCAUUCUACUAAUUACUCAGAGGGAAAGAUAUGAGAGAUAUUUAUGUUUCUGUGUUGAUACAUAAAUUAGAAUGCAAAAAGAGAUUGGCCACAGAAAUAGGGAUGUAUAAAGAUAACAUGGAAUUUUACACUGCAUUUAAAUGUUGGCAUCAGAAAUUAUUACAUACCUUAUUUAAGUGCUGAGGUCCCUGUAUUUAGAAGAGCAAUCCAUUACAAUGGAAUGUAUUUAUAUUCAUACAGAAAUAAAACACCCAAUACUUUAAUAAUGGGAAAUUCUCAAUUUAUUUUAUCAAAUUCUCAUACUAUUCAUUUCUUCAGAAAUUGUUUUCAAGGUGAUAUAUAAGAAAACAUUCAGAGAAUUAGCAAGUUAGUACACAAAAUCAUUUUCUCAGUCUGGUCAUAGACACAGAGAUAAAAUAGAGUCUAAGCAUCUGAUAAUUAUCAAUAAUAAGCAUCCCUUGUCCCUUGUUAUCACAGAUACUCAAAUGCCUAGUGGCAAGGCACAUUUUGGCACCUUGGCCUGUUUCAGUAAAGCCACACAAAACUGGAUGGGUGCUCUCCAAUUCUUGGGGCUGCAAAAGCUCAUAAAAAAGAGCUGAGAGCAGAUCCAUGCAGCAAACAGAAACUUGUACAAGUAAGUUAUUUGUCAACAUCCAAAAGUGCACUAUAUUGCCUUACUGAACACAAAAACAUGUCCCCAGAAAGCUUGGAGUUCUAUUUUCAAAUGGAUGUGACAAA